rnacentral:lncRNA from 1 species
AUGCUGGCUCAAAGUGUGAUCCAAUCAACAUGCUGCAGACAGGAUGGCUCAACUGUUGCUUCCCAACGUUGGGGAUCAUCUGGGUUCCUGUUGCCUGGCAGAGCGCCAGGUGCCACCACCUCCGUGAAGCACCAGACAAGCCCGCUGCUGUGCACUGCUGCAGCUGACUGCCAGGACGGCUCACACUCCCCUAUCUGCAUCAACUGUGACUUGAUCUGUGUCGGUAUGUGUGCCACGCUUUCCCCAACUAGACCGAUGCCUCUUAAGGUCAGAACAGUGUCCCGGUUGUCACCACAGCAGUAAUAAUCAUCAUUCUCAUUAACUAUUUUUUGUUUAUGAGACAAAGUCUUACUUGUCGCCCAGGCUGGAGUGCAGUGGCACGAUCUCGGCUAACGGCAACCUCAGCCUCCCGGGUUCAAGCGAUUCUCCUGCCUCAGCCUCCUGAAUAGCUGGAAAUACGGAUGUGUACUACCACGUUCGGCUAAUUUGUUUGUAUUUUUAAUAGAGACGGGGUUUCACCAUGUUGGCCAGGCUGGUCUUGAACUCCUGACCUCAGGUGAUCCACCUGCCUUGGCCUCCCAAAGUGCUGGGAUUAUAGGCGUGAGCCACUGCACCCGGCCCUCAUUAACUUUUGAGUGCUCAGUAUGUUCUACUUUGUCUUCAGAAUUUCGUAUACAUUGUAUUUAAUCCUCCCAAUGAUCCUAUUUAGUAGGUGCUAUUAUUCUCCAUGAACAGGUGAAGAAGCCAAAACAUGCCCAAGGUGGUCAACCAGAAAGCAGCACUGAUGCCAUGGCCAGAUGCCCUCCCCACCCCACCCUAUGUGCAGAAGAUGCUCAGUGAGGGCUGGAUGAAUGGACCGAUUUUGUUAAAUGAACCUGAGAAGCCACAUGGUUUAUUUCUAAGAGUCUUUUUAGUUUAACUGAAUAAUGGAAUGGUGAACUUAAAAGAUAAGCAGGUGUGCUGGUGCAUGCUUAUAAUCCCAGCUGUUCCAGAGGCCGAGGCAAGAGAAUCGCUUGAGCCCCGGAGUCUGAGGCUGCAGUGAGGUGUGAGUGUAUCACUGCACUCCAGCCUGGGGAACAGAGCAAGGCCUUGUCUCUUAAAAGAAAAGAAAAAAAAAAAAAAAAAAAAGAAAAGAGACUGUCUUAACUAAGUGUCUGUUAAAUGUAGUUUAGCAAAAUCUGAAAACCCAGGAGCUCAGCUCAUCCUACCCAAUGUCAUUCACUGGAGAUAUUCAAAGAACCGAGGUGCUGUUAUGAGUUUUUAUUGUUACAGUUUCUAACGUGGUCUUGAGGUUUCCCUGUCAAGAGUGGCAGUAAGCCGAGAUAGCGCCUCUUUAGGGAAGCCCUGAUGGAAUGCGGUGUAGUUAGGUUUGGGUGUGUUGGUCAGCUAAGGCCCAAUGAGGUGAAACCAAAAUGCAUCAAACAGAGGAAAUGUCUUACUUACAGAUUCCAGAGACGGUGGGGGGGGGGGGGGGCCCCGGGGGGGGGGGGGGGGGGGGGGCCUCCAUGGGAGGUCUGGAGGCAGUGGCAGCAGAGCUCAUCCAGGAGGUGGGGAGCGAGUGAGAGUGAGUGAGCCUGUGGGGCUAUGCUUUUAUCAGGAUCCAGGGGCGUUACCCCUUAGGCUUUCCCAUGGGGGUCGUGGAUUCGUUAGUUUCAAGAAAACAGGUGCACAGGGGAAACUUACUGACACGACUCUGGUGUUAAUCAUCAGGUGUUACCACGGGCCCACAGGUGUGGGAAGUGUUGGGUUUUUGGUUGGUGGGAUGAGGAAGGGGCCUGGGCUCUAUUUUUCAAACAACACACAGGGAGGGAAAGUUUUAAUGAGGCCAGAGAGGGCAGGGGUACAACAAGGUUUCAAAACACUUAGGUCGGGCCUAAGAAUGGGUACCGAGGCAGGAGCUCUAUUGCACUAAUUUAGACAGGCACCUCCUGGGUCUGUGCUGUGAUAGGAAGUCUUUGCAACACCUGACGCUGGUUUCUCCAAUCAUGGUAGUUCCUCCUCCAGUUUCCUGAAGAGGCAGGCAGCAUGGGGCCGGAUCUCAGGGCAGUGGAUGGGACCGUGCAGGGUUUUCCCUUACCUGGUGAACAGGUCCCAUCCUUCAUGACAUUAACUGAAAUUGCCAUCACCUCUGUGACCUUGCCAGAGCUCCGGGAAGUCUGAAGUUAAACUGCAAAAGUGAGCCCACCAUGUGCUGUUCUGCUGCUUAUAAUUUUCAGCUUGUCCAUAAACACAAGCAAAUAAAUUGGCAUGAAUUAGCUAUGAGAUAUAUUUAUAUAUAAACGACUAUAAUGUCAUUAAGGUGAUUAUGGGACAUGAUUGAAAUGUUGGAUCCUAAAUACUUUCCUAAGUGCCACCUGAAACACGGGACUGCCAUUAACAUAAUGAGCAGAGAUAUGAAUAUUUCUGGCAAAGGCAUCCUGAAGUAAGUAAGCCUGAAACUCAGUAACACUGAACAACCGAGUUCCAAGAAUAUUUGCUUUUUACGUCAAAUCACCAAAUGAAACAUUCUGGAGGUGAAAAAUCUAAGUAGUUUCCUGAGAUUCUUCCUGUGGUUAAUUCAUAAUCCUGGUAUUGUUUUCACUAACUUUCUUCUUUUUUUUUUUUUUUUUUUGAGACAGUAUCUUGCUCUGUCACCCAGACUGGAGUGCAGUGGUGUGAUCAUAGCUCACUGCAGCCUCCACCUCCCAGGCUCAAGCCAUCCUCCUGCCUCAGCCUCCUAAGUAGCUGCAACUACAGGCAAACACCACCAUGCCCACCUAACUUUAAUUUUCUUUUUUUUUUUUUUUGGUAGAGAUGGGGUCUCACUAUGUUGCACAGGCUGGUCUGGAACUCCUGGCCUCAAGUGAUCCUCCUGCCUCAGCCUCCCAAAAUGCUGAGAUUACAAGCAUGAGCCACUGUGCCUGGCUUCUUCCCAUUUAAAAAAAUGAAAACACAUGGUGUAAUGUUAGCGUAUUUCCCUCUAGGCCAACAAUAUUUUUUUAAGUUGAGGACUCAAAAGAAAAAAAGGCAAGUGAUAAAGUCGUUUUAUUUCCACUUUACUCCUGCUGGAAGUUUUUGCAAAAGAGAGAAAAUAAUAAGAGCCCCUCCAGGAAUGGAGGGUGGAAACUCUGUGUCCAGGUUUGCUUUCUGUCAUCCACACCUUGAUAAGCCACAGAGAAGAGAGAGAGCCAACAGGUCACAUCCAAGGCACCACACUUGCAAUUAAUUUAUUAGGAACUCAUCAUUAGUCACCCCAGAGCUUUCAGAAAAGUAGUGUCCUCUUGAGUGGAUGUGCUUAUAUCCCUCAAAGCCUCAAAGCAGAAAAACAUUAAACUUGGUAACAGUUACAUUUUGUUCUUUGACUAGGAAGUAGUUAUAGUGACAAGGUACAAAAAAUAAUAAGCAUGCAGCCCUUUAUUUAGUUUUGCAAAGUCUCUGCUUAUAGUUCUGUAUAUUACAUGACUGUGUUAUACAAAUACAUUUAUUUACAAACACUCUAGCUGUGCAAACUUGUUGCUUUUUAAAAAUGUAUGGAUACUUCCAUUUCUGCCCAUCCCGAUAUAUACUUUUAAAGCAUGCAUAAAAAUUAACUUUGGUGUGGGAAAACUACUCUAUGUG